UACGAAGGGGGCUAGCGUUGCUCGGAAUCAUUGGGCGUAAAGCGCACGUAGGCGGAUCUUUAAGUCAGGGGUGAAAUCCUGGAGCUCAACUCCAGAACUGCCUUUGAUACUGGGGAUCUCGAGUCCGGAAGAGGUGAGUGGAACUCCGAGUGUAGAGGUGAAAUUCGUAGAUAUUCGGAAGAACACCAGUGGCGAAGGCGGCUCACUGGUCCGGUACUGACGCUGAGGUGCGAAAGCGUGGGGAGCAAACAGG
rnacentral:rRNA from 1 species